rfam:Triticum aestivum genome assembly, contig: Triticum_aestivum_CS42_TGACv1_scaffold_195704_3AL
AAGCACAUAAUGAUUAGCUUUAUGUUGGAAUUACCGUCAGAUACCCAAUGACAAUAUUUUUGCGGCUUUCUGAGGCUUACU